GGGGGCGUACUGGUUUCGACCGGAUAGCUGGAGGUUCAAAUUGCGUGUCGUGGUUGGUCGGCUGGCCACGUAAAAAGUCGACCAUGCUUCAAUUGACGAAGCUCAGUUUGCUUUGGCAGCUUAAUUAAGUUGUCCCGUGCGAUGGCCCCAGUCGGAAGGGCCUCCCAAACGGUCGCCAAAUCCGACUCGCUCUGUUUCACUGCCCGGUACGGACGGAGUUAAAUUUGUUCUGGGCUGGUGGAAUCCGCACCCUGUUGGCCGGGGGCGGCUUCCACAAGACUAAAAUUGGCCAAAUAUGCACGUAGACGUUUGUUCUGAAACAUCACGGGACGCGGGUUCGAUUCCCGCCGCCUCCAC
rnacentral:tmRNA from 1 species